rnacentral:snoRNA from 1 species
GGGCAGCGAUGAGCGGGUGCGACGAUGCCGGGCGGACAGGGCUUGGCCUCCGGACUGCCUGAGGGAGCCGUUGGGCACUCCAUGAAGGCGGGGGAUCGGCCGGGCCUACACUUUUUAAGCCUUCAGG